rnacentral:rRNA from 1 species
CCUACGGGUGGCAGCAGUGGGGGAUAUUGCACAAUGGGGGAAACCCUGAUGCAGCGACGCCGCGUGGGCGAAGAAGUCUUUCGGUAUGUAAAGCCCUAUUAGCCGGGAAGAAGAAAUGCCGGUACAGGAGUAAGAAGCAUCGGCUAAACACGGGCCAGCAGCCGCGGUAAUCCGGAUGCGGCAAGCGUUAUCCGGAUUUACUGGGUGUAAAGGGAGCGCAGGGGGAAAGGCAAGCCUGAUGUGAAAGCCCGCGGCCUAACCGGGGGAGUGCAUUGGGAACUACCGGGCUGGAGUGCCGGAGAGGUAGGCGGAAUGCCUAGUGUAGCGGUGAAAUGCGUAGAUAUUAGGAAGAACACCAGUGGCGAAGGCGACCUACUGGACGGUGACUGACGCUGAGGCUCGAAAGCGUGGGGAGCAAACAGGAUUAGAUACCCCUGUAGUC